rnacentral:rRNA from 1 species
CGUGAGAUGUUGGGUUAACGUCCCGUAACGAGCGCAACCCUUGUCCUUAGUUACCAGCACGUUAUGGUGGGCACUCUAAGGAGACUGCCGGUGACAAACCGGAGGAAGGUGGGGAUGACGUCAAGUCAUCAUGGCCCUUACGGCCUGGGCUACACACGUGCUACAAUGGUCGGUACAAAGGGUUGCCAAGCCGCGAGGUGGAGCUAAUCCCAUAAAACCGAUCGUAGUCCGGAUCGCAGUCUGCAACUCGACUGCGUGAAGUCGGAAUCGCUAGUAAUCGUGAAUCAGAAUGUCACGGUGAAUACGUUCCCGGGCCUU